AUCAACUUUCGAUGGUAGGAUAGAGGCCUACCAUGGUGGUAACGGGUAACGGGGUGUUAGGGCACGACACCGGAGAGGGAGCCUGAGAAACGGCUACCACAUCCAAGGAUGGCAGCAGGCGCGCAAAUUACCCAAUCCCGACACGGGGAGGUAGUGACAAUAAAUAACAAUACGGGGUUCUUUCGGAUUUCGUAAUUGGAAUGAGUACAAUUUAAAUCUCUUAACGAGGAACAAUUGGAGGGCAAGUCUGGUGCCAGCAGCCGCGGUAAUUCCAGCUCCAAUAGCGUAUAUUAAAGUUGUUGCAGUUAAAAAGCUCGUAGUUGAAUUUCGGGAUCAGUUCGUUGGUCGUGCCUUUGGUAUGUACCGGUGUUACUGGUUCCUCCCUUCUGACGAACCGUCAUGUCAUUAAUUUGGUGUGGCGGGAAAUCAGGACUGUUACUUUGAAAAAAUUAGAGUGUUUAAAGCAGGCUCGCGCUUGAAUACAUUAGCAUGGAAUAAUGAAAUAGGACGUUUGACCCUAUUUUGUUGGUUUCUAGGAUUGACGUAAUGAUUAAUAGGGAUAGUUGGGGGCAUUAGUAUUCAAUUGUCAGAGGUGAAAUUCUUGGAUUUAUUGAAGACUGACUACUGCGAAAGCAUUUGCCAAGGAUGUUUUCAUUAAUCAAGAACGAAAGUUAGGGGAUCGAAGACGAUCAGAUACCGUCGUAGUCUUAACCAUAAACUAUGCCGACUAGGGAUCGGAUGAUGUUAAUUUUUUAAUGACUCAUUCGGCGCCUUACGGGAAACCAAAGUGUUUGGGUUC
rnacentral:rRNA from 1 species